GUGCUCACUUUAGCAGCACAUACUCUAAAACUGGAAUGAUCCAGGGAAGAUUAGCAUGGCCUCUGUGCAAGGGCGACGUGCAAUUCUUGAAAUUAUAGUGAAUAAU